AGCCGUUAGGAAUCGUUGGCUCUUUCUGGCAGUUAUUUCAGCUUGUUCUUCGUAGAUAAAAGUGCCCCACGCAUCCGGAUUGAGACCCACUAUACGGUUGUCUGAGGUGUGUCGCACUGAGAUCGGUCAGGUUUUUUUUUUAUACUGGAUCAUUCCUGAAGUGGAUCCCUCCUUUGAUCUUGAUGGCGAGCCUUCCCACCUGGACCUAAAGAGAGAACCAGAUUUCGCCUAUCCCAUUUGGAGUCCUGCUGCACCCUGCGGUGUGGUAGGAGAGCAACAUACAUCUUCACACACGGUUAUGUGUGAGACCACCAACUGACAUUCUCCAUUAUUAUUGUUUUUUUAUUUAUUUAUUUUUGGACAAUACUUUUUGGAUUGUUUUAUUUCGGACAUUGUGACGCACAGCAGUGGUGGAAAUUGUCCUGUGAAUGAAGUUGAAUCAAACCAAAUUGGGAUUAAUUUGAUUAAUCUGCCGACUAAUACAAUUUGGAGUGCAGAUUACCAGGGUGCACCCGAAUUAUUUGAAAUUAAGAAUUAGCACUUGGCCAAGUAUUAUUGUUAUUAUUAUUUUUUGCAUUUUAUUGUGUGUAAUUUUAUUUUCAUAAUUGUGUGUUUUGUGCAACUGUUAAUUGUGUGAUUUCUGUCACUAAAACCA